rnacentral:rRNA from 1 species
GACGAAUGCUGGCUGCGUGCUUAACACAUGCAAGUCGAACGGUGAAGGAGGGCUUGCCCUCCGGAUCAGUGGCGAACGGGUGAGUAACACGUGGGCAACCUGCCCCUCACUCUGGGAUAACGCCGGGAAACCGGCGCUAAUACCGGAUACGACCAGGCGCGACAUCUCGCCUGGUGGAAAGAAUUUCGGUGAGGGAUGGGCCCGCGGCCUAUCAGCUUGUUGGUGGGGUAACGGCCCACCAAGGCGACGACGGGUAGCCGGCCUGAGAGGGCGAGCGGCCACACUGGGACUGAGACACGGCCCAGACUCCUACGGGAGGCAGCAGUGGGGAAUAUUGCUCAAUGGGCGAAAGCCUGACGCAGCGACGCAGCGUGAGGGACGAAGGCCUUCGGGUUGUAAACCUCUUUCAGCGGGGACGAAGCGAAAGUGACGGUACCCGCAGAAGAAGCACCGGCUAACUACGUGCCAGCCGCCGCAGUAAGAC